AGUAUACGCUGCUAUACUAUAUGGCCCUAUAGUAUAGCGUAGUCUGAAAGAGUUGCACGAGCAAGUCUCGGCAAGUAUUUCGAACGCUAUAUAACGGAGCCGUUAGACAUUAUCUCGCGUAAUUUUCAAAAGCAACAAAAUAACGGAUAUUUGUUUUUGAGAUUCCAAUUUUAAAGCGAAACGCAAUCAAUCGCUAAUAAUUAAUCUAACGAGUCAAUAAUUUUUGUUCGAGUUACUUGUUGAGUUGACUAAUACAGGCUGUUCAAAUCGUACAAACAGAUUAGUGAAUAUUUAAUUUAGGUAUCAUAUAUUUCAGAUAUCAAAAUACAGAGUGGGGUGAUGUCCGUAUCACAUGAGAUCCCUAAACAUCAAAUCCUAAAACGAUAUUUUUAUUGCUAAAAAAAAACGGACAUUAGAAUGAAAUAGCUUUAGUUUAUUCGAAAUAUCAUGUUUCUAUUUCAUAAAUUUACGCGUCCUGUAUAUAAAAUUAAAUAUCGACAACCAGAGAAAUAUCACUACAUUCAUUCGCAAGAUGCUUAUCUACUCUGUUGUAUUGUUUAGCUUCUGACACUAUUAAAAUCGAUCAUUAAUACAUAAUAAUAUGAAAUUGAGGAUAUUCAAGUUCAAACGAAAAAUCUAAAGGCACGUUAAAUAAAUAAGGACACUUCUGACGAAAUAUGAAGGCGUAGGCUCUUCAGAAAAGUGCAAUGUGUAAUUUUAAUUAUAGCCAUUUUCGACACUUUUAUAAAAUUAGAUACAAUAUAAAAAAUAAAAAUAAAAAAUGCUUUUAAUAAAAUUUGAACAGCCUGUAUAUAUCAAGUCAUAGACGGUUUUGUAUCGGUGGUACUGGUGUCGAAGGAUAUUAUUAUAUUAAUUAAACUCUAACUUUACAAAGCUUAUAUUUUGGGGAACAUUUGUUUUUUAUGGAAUAUAUACGGUAUUAUAUUAUUAUACGGAAAUGUCGUUAUUAACGUCAAAACAAGUAAUCGAUUUAAGCGCAGCCGGCGUCGACUAUGCGUUCACUAACAAACUGCAAACAGUAAAAGUCCGUCAAGACACUUGCAAUUAUUUAUUUUAUUUUAGAGGAACUGAAACCAAAACCUUAUAUCCCACCUCAGUAUAUAUUAGCCCAGUUCAUAUCUCUACAUUAUACAUUACAUUAUACUGUUUAGUUUCCACAGAAGACUACGUGAAAAUAUUGUUAUAGGAUAUUCGACUUUAUUCAGCUGUGUUUCGGCUAGUUUUAUUUCAAUUACAUAAGAAAUAUUUUCCACUACCUUUUUUAAUCAUAUAAAUCAAUCUUAGCGUGGCCGACUAUCGAUGCUCUCACAUAACUACGCAGUGACGUCACAGUUUAGUAAACAAACUCAAUACUUGCGAAGUUGUUCGAAUCUCUAUGAAAAUGAUUUGUUUCUGUUCUUUCGUCGUUUAUAGUCCUGAUCGAUUCUACUCUUGUGUAAAGCGGUUGAUUUUGUCUUGUUUUUUUGUUAAUAAAAACUACUAAUUUAGGACCACGAUACAUUUACAUUACGAAUUUGAUACGAUUUUCGUGCUUGACGUACAGAACGGUGCCAUUCAAAAGGGAGCCAGGUAAUAUUCAUAAUAAACCAAAUAAAUAAAUAAAAAACUAUUAAUUUAGGACCAAUAAACAUGACAAUUGCAAUCUCAAAACAAUACACACACAUUGCAACGAUAAUAUCCCCCUCAAAUCCAUUUUAUCUUUAAUCCCUCGAUCGAAUCGACCUGCAAUCAGGCAGUAAUGUUUCUCCGGUUUGUAUUCGAAUAAGUCCAAUCAAACACAAAAAAUUCAAU